rnacentral:rRNA from 1 species
UACGGGGGGGGCAAGCGUUGUUCGGAAUUACUGGGCAUAAAGGGCUCGUAGGCGGCCAACUAAGUCAGACGUGAAAUCCCUCGGCUUAACCGGGGAACUGCGUCUGAUACUGGAUGGCUAGAGGUUGGGAGAGGGAUGCGGAAUUCCAGGUGUAGCGGUGAAAUGCGUAGAUAUCUGGAGGAACACCGGUGGCGAAGGCGGCAUCCUGGACCAAUUCUGACGCUGAGGAGCGAAAGCCAGGGGAGCAAACGGG